UACGAAGGUCCCGAGCGUUGUUCGGAAUCACUGGGCGUAAAGGGAGCGUAGGCGGCGCGGUAAGUCAGAUGUGAAAUCCCGGGGCUCAACCCCGGAACUGCAUCCGAUACUGCCGUGCUAGAGUGAUGGAGAGGUAGCUGGAAUUCUUGGUGUAGCAGCGAAAUGCGUGGAGAUCAAGAGGAACACUCGUGGCGAAAGCGAGCUACUGGACAUUUACUGACGCUGAGGCUCGAAGGCCAGGGUAGCGAAAGGG
rnacentral:misc_RNA from 1 species